UACGUAGGGGGCAAGCGUUGUCCGGAAUCAUUGGGCGUAAAGAGCGUGUAGGCGGCCCGAUAAGUCCGCUGUGAAAGUCCAGGGCUCAACCCUGGGAUGCCGGCGGAUACUGUCGGGCUAGAGUCCGGAAGAGGCGAGUGGAAUUCCUGGUGUAGCGGUGAAAUGCGCAGAUAUCAGGAGGAACACCUACGGCGAAGGCAGCUCGCUGGGACGGUACUGACGCUGAGACGCGAAAGCGUGGGGAGCAAACAGG
rnacentral:rRNA from 1 species